rnacentral:lncRNA from 1 species
GUGGACCCAAAUAUUAUAAGGUUAAUGUUAAUUAUACACAUAUAAAAUAUUUUCUUACACCAUAUUGUGGAGUAUGGUACCAUUUAAGAGAAUUAUGACAGAUACAAGCAUCAUAUAUAACUCUCGAACUCUUUAAUUUGAGACAUUAAAGACUUCGAAAUGUGGUUGAUAAGACAUUUGUUGUUCUAAAAAAAAAUCUCAUAUUAACAUCCCCUUAGUAUAACAUAAAAAAAAGGUUGUUUUACCAAAAUAGCCCAAAAAUAAAUUAUAUUUGCAAAAAUAGCCCAAGUUCAAAAACAAUCACCAAAAUAACCUAAAAUGAACAGUACCCACUCUUUUUUUGCACCAAUGAUUGCCUAAUAAUUGUGUUAGAAUUAAAAAAAUUAAUUUUUUGGGUUUUGGCCUCUCAAUGGCCGGAACCCAUGUAUUUUUUUAAAAAAUUGUAUAAUACUAAUAUAUGAAAAAGGAAAAAGAAAAAAAAGGAAAAAAAAAUUUUGGUGCUGGCCGGUCAAUGGCCGGCACCCAACAGUAAAAUUUUUUUUUGAAUUUUUUC